rnacentral:tRNA from 1 species
UCCGUGAUAGCUCAAUGGUGGAGCACUCGGCUGUUAACCGAUAGGCUGGAGGUUCAAGUCCUCUUCGCGGAGCCA